CCUAGAGGCUCGCUGAGCCGAGCUGAAGCCGGGCCAGCGUACAGGGCUGAUUAGCCCCAGCUGAGGUGGUGGAGGCGGGUAGCGUUGAGAGGCCAGCGGGAGGGGACGCGCCCCUACCCACGCCUGAAAUAGCCUGCUGGGCGUGGCCUAGGCGGCGGAUGGGCGUGACCGAAACAAGCAGGGACCGGGUAGCAGUAGCAGGCCGAAUUGAGGCCGCCAGAGUGUCCUGGCAGAGAGUUGGGCCCGUGGGCUCCGUCUCGCAGACUGAUGGACGGUGCUGAAGCGAGGAUGGAGGGGUCCUUGUAGGCGCUGCUGGCCAGAUUGAAGCAAUGCAAGGCGAGGUCCCUAGGACACGAGUUCUCGUGGAUGGAGGAAAGAGGUUGCCACCUGUAAUUUUGGAAGCUUCGGGUGUGUCAAAAACGUAAUUAACGCCAAGAUCUGAUCCCUGGAAUAACAGAACAUUGAAAAUAAAUUAAAAUUCCAUGCAUUA